AGAUUGAACGCUGGCGGCGUGCCUAACACAUGCAAGUCGAGCGGUAACAGGUGUAGCAAUACAUGCUGACGAGCGGCGAACGGGUGAGUAAUGCUUCGGAAUCUACCUUAUGGUGGGGAAUAACUAGCCGAAAGGUUAGCUAAUACCGCAUACGUCCUACGGGAGAAAGCUAGGGGAUCGCAAGACCUUGCGACCAAAAGAUGAGCCGAAGUCGGAUUAGCUAGUUGGUAGGUAACGGCCUACCAAGGCGACGAUCCGUAGCUGGUCUGACGAGGACGACCAGCCACACUGGAACUGACGACACGGUCCAGACUCCGUACGGGACGCGAGCGAGGUAGGGGAAUAGUUAGGAAC
rnacentral:rRNA from 1 species